UGGGGGUAUAGCUCAGCUGGGAGAGCGUUUGAAUGGCAUUCAAAAGGUCAGGGGUUCGAAUCCCCUUACCUCCACCAG
rnacentral:tRNA from 1 species